AAGUCGUAACAAGGUAUCCGUAGGUGAACCUGCGGAUGGAUCAUUAAAGUAAAAGACUGAGAUGCCUUUGGCAUCAAAGUCCGGCUCAGCCGACACACUUUGUGCACUGUUUUACGUCUCUGGCGGGACGUUUCCCUGUCCAGUGGCUUAAUCGCCGCUGGUGGGUGGAGAGCACCCGCCGAUGGGCUUUUGCCUGUCACCUUUUUUAACUCCAAUGUGUGAACCUAUCCAGUCUGAAAACUUUCACUAUAACUAAUGUGAAAACAACUUUUGACAACGGAUCUCUUGGCUCUC
rnacentral:misc_RNA from 1 species